GAUGAACGCUGGCGGCGUGCCUAAUACAUGCAAGUCGAACGAACACAUGAGGAGCUUGCUCUUCUAAGGUUAGCGGCGGACGGGUGAGUAACGCGUAGAUAACCUUCCUCUUAGACGGGGAUAACUACGGGAAACCACAGCUGAUACCGCAUAAUAUAUUUUACGGCAUGAUUCAGAAGUGAAAGACGCUUUUGCUGAACCAUUUAGAUGAUUCCGGGUCGCAUUGGUUAGUUGGUAAGGUAACGGCAAACCAAGGCAACGAUGCGUAGCCGACCUGAGAGGAUGAUCGGCCACACUGGAACUGAGACACGGUCCAGACUCCUACGGGAGGCAGCAGUGGGGAAUAUUGGGCAAUGGGCGAAAGCCUGACGCAGCAAUGCCGCGUGGGUGAUGAAGGUCUUCGGAUCGUAAACCCCUUUUAUUGGGAAAGAACAGAUGUAGAAUUAAACAUGCACGUUUUGACGGUACCUAAUCAGAAAGCAACGGCUAACUACGUG
rnacentral:rRNA from 1 species